UAGGGAAUAUUGCGCAAUGGACGAAAGUCUGACGCAGCAACUCCACGUGUGGGAUGACGCAUUUCGGUGUGUAAACCACUGUCGGAUGGGAAUAAUGGUUUGGUGUUGAGCCAAAUUUGAAUGUACCAUCAAAGGAAGCAUCGGCUAACUUCGUGCCAGCAGCCGCGGUAAUACGAGGGAUGCGAGCGUUGUUCGGAAUCACUGGGCGUAAAGAGAGCGUAGGCGGGGAAAUAAGUUUGGUGUUUAAAGCAAGGGCCUAACCCUUGUGUGGCACUGAAUACUGUUUCUCUUGAGUAGGUUAGGGGUUAUCGGAAUUCCUGGUGUAGCGGUGGAAUGCGUAGAUAUCAGGAAGAACACCAAUGGCGAAGGCAGAUAACUGGGACCAUACUGACGCUGAGGC
rnacentral:rRNA from 1 species